UCCGGUUGAUCCUACCGGACCUCACUGCUAUCGGGGUGGGACUAAGCCAUGCAAGUCGUAUGCCUUUUAGCUAUGGAAAAGACAUGGCAUACGGCUCAGUAACACGUAGUUAACCUAACCUUAGGACAGAGAUAAUCCCGGGAAACUGGGGCUAACAUCUGUUAUUUGAGAAGAUCUGGAAUGACUUCUCACUCAAAAGAUGUAAAGACCAUGCUCUUUAUGUUGCCUAAGGAUGGGACUACGGCUGAUCAGGUAGUUGGUGAGGUAACGGCUCACCAAGCCUAUAACCAGUACGGGCCGUUAGAGCGGGAGCCCGGAGAUGGGUACUGAGACAAGGACCCAGGCCUUACGGGGCGCAGCAGGCGCGAAAACUCCGCAAUGCGCGAAAGCGUGACGGGGCUACCCCGAGUGCUAACCGCUGAGGAUAGCUUUUCUUUAGUGUAACUAGCUAUAGGAAUAAGGGGAGGGCAAGACUGGUGUCAGCCGCCGCGGUAAUACCAGCUCCCCAAGUGGUGAGGACAAUUAUUGGGCCUAAAGCGUUCGUAGCCUGCUUAGUAAGUUUCUCGUUAAAUCCAGCGAUCCAAUCGUUGGGCUGCGGGAAAUACUGCUAGGCUAGGGGGCGGGAGAGGCUGACGGUAUUCUUAGGGUAGGGGUGAAAUCCUAUAAUCCUGAGAGGACCACCAGUGGCGAAGGCGGUCAGCUAGAACGCGCUCGACGGUGAGGGACGAAAGCUGGGGGAGCGAUCCGGAUUAGAUACCCGGGUAGUCCCAGCUGUAAACGAUGCAGGCUAGGUGUUGGCACGACUACAUGUUAUGCCAGUGCCGCAGGGAAGCUGUUAAGCCUGCCGCCUGGGGAGUACAGUCGCAAGACUGAAACUUAAAGGAAUUGGCGGGGGAGCACCACAAGGGGUGAAGCUUGCGGUUCAAUUGGAGUCAACACCGGGAACCUUACCGGGGGAGACAGUCGAAUGAAGGCCAGAUUAAAGGUCUUGCUAGACUAGCUGAGAGGAGGUGCAUGGCCGUCGCCAGUUCGUGCCGUGAGGUGUCCUGUUAAGUCAGGCAACGAUCGAGACCCACGCCUCUUGUUGCUACCAACACUCCGUAAGGAGGUUGGGCACACUAGAGGGACUGCCGCCGACAAGGUGGAGGAAGGGGUGGGCCACGGCAGGUCAGUAUGCCCCGAAUCCCUCGGGCUACACGCGAGCUGCAAUGGUAGGGACAAUGGGCUCCGACCCUGAAAAGGGAAGGUAAUCCUUAAACCCUACCUCAGUCGGAAUCGAGGGCUGAAACUCGCCCUCGUGAACAUGGAAUCCCUAGUAAUCGCGCGUCAUCAACGCGCGGUGAAUACGUCCCUGCUCCUUGCACACACCGCCCGUCGCUCCAUCCGAGUGAGGUCUAGAUGAGGAGUAGUCUUUCUUGGCUACUUCGAAUCUAAGCUUUGCAAGGAGGGAGAAGUCGUAACAAGGUG
rnacentral:rRNA from 1 species